UACGUAGGGGGCGAGCGUUGUCCGGAAUCAUUGGGCGUAAAGCGCGUGUAGGCGGCUCGAUAAGUCCGGUGUGAAACCUUGGGGCUCAACCCCAAGCCUGCACUGGAUACUGCCGAGCUAGAGUCCGGGAGGGGAGAGCGGAAUUCCUAGUGUAGCGGUGAAAUGCGCAGAUAUUAGGAAGAACACCGGUGGCGAAGGCGGCUACUCUGGAACGGUACUGACGCUGAGACGCGAAAGCGUGGGGAGCGAACAGG
rnacentral:rRNA from 1 species